GACGAACGCUGGCGGCGUGCUUAACACAUGCAAGUCGAACGGAAAGGCCCUGCUUUUGUGGGGUGCUCGAGUGGCGAACGGGUGAGUAACACGUGAGUAACCUGCCCUUGACUUUGGGAUAACUUCAGGAAACUGGGGCUAAUACCGGAUAGGAGCUCCUGCUGCAUGGUGGGGGUUGGAAAGUUUCGGCGGUUGGGGAUGGACUCGCGGCUUAUCAGCUUGUUGGUGGGGUAGUGGCUUACCAAGGCUUUGACGGGUAGCCGGCCUGAGAGGGUGACCGGCGACAUUGGGACUGAGAUACGGCGCAGACUCCUACGGGAGGCAGCGGUGGGGAAUAUGGCACAAUGAGCGGAAGCGUGAUGCGACAGCGCCGCGUGCGGGAUGACGGCCUUCGAGUUAUGAACCGCUUUCGCCUGUGACGAAGCGUGAGUGACGGUAAUGGGUAAAGAAGCACCGGCUAACUACGUG
rnacentral:rRNA from 1 species